rnacentral:rRNA from 1 species
AUGAAUAUCCUAGCCUGGAACUGUCGGGGAUUGGGGUUGGACUCGACAGUGGGCGAACUUAGAGACCUGAUUAGGUCCUACAACCCAGCAGUGGUGUUCCUAAGCGAGACUAAGAAAAAAGCAAGGGCGAUGGAGAGACUAAAGUGGAGACUAGGUUUUAAGGAAGGAGUGGCAGUGAACUGCAAUGGAAAGAGUGGAUGACUCGCUUUAUGG